AUUGAACGCUGGCGGCAUGCCUUACACAUGCAAGUCGAACGGCAGCACGGGUGAUUGCACCUGGUGGCGAGUGGCGAACGGGUGAGUAAUACAUCGGAACAUGUCCUGUAGUGGGGGAUAGCCCGGCGAAAGCCGGAUUAAUACCGCAUACGAUCUACGGAUGAAAGCGGGGGACCUUCGGGCCUCGCGCUAUAGGGUUGGCCGAUGGCUGAUUAGCUAGUUGGUGGGGUAAAGGCCUACCAAGGCGACGAUCAGUAGCUGGUCUGAGAGGACGACCAGCCACACUGGGACUGAGACACGGCCCAGACUCCUACGGGAGGCAGCAGUGGGGAAUUUUGGACAAUGGGCGAAAGCCUGAUCCAGCAAUGCCGCGUGUGUGAAGAAGGCCUUCGGGUUGUAAAGCACUUUUGUCCGGAAAGAAAUCCUUGGCCCUAAUACGGUCGGGGGAUGACGGUACCGGAAGAAUAAGCACCGGCUAACUACGUG
rnacentral:rRNA from 1 species